AUUGAACGCUGGCGGCAGGCCUAACACAUGCAAGUCGAGCGAGCGGCGGACGGGUGAGUAAUGUAUGGGGACUGCCCGAUAGAGGGGGAUAACUCCUGGAAACGGUAGCUAAUACCGCAUACUAUCGGAUCACCCAUAUGGGAUUAGGUAGUAGGUGAGGGAAGGGGUCACCUAGGCGACGCUCCCUAGCUUGUCUUAGAGGAGGAUCCGCCACACGGGGAUGUAGACACGGUCCAGACUCCUACGGAGGCAGCAGUGGGGAAUAGUGCACAAGGGGCGCAAGCCUGAUGCAGCCAUGCCGCGUGUAUGAAGAAGGCCCUAGGGUUGUAAAGUACUUUCAGUCGGGAGGCGUUACCGACAGAAGAAGCACCGGCUAACUCCGUGCCAGCAGCCGCGGUAAUUC
rnacentral:rRNA from 1 species